AUUAUUUUAAAAAGUGUUGUUUAAUCUCCAAGUAUUGUGGGGUUUUUCAGCCAUCUUUCUGUUAUUGAUUUCUAGUUUAAUUUCAUUGAGGUUUAAGAGCAUACUUUGUAUGAUUUCUGUUCUUUCAUAAUUGUGUUUUAUGGCCCAGAAUGUGAUCUGUCUUGGUCAUUGUUCUGUGUAAGGUUGAGAAGAAUGCAUCUUCUGCUACUGUUGGAUGAAGUAUUCUGUAGAUAUGAAUUAGAUCCAGGUGAUUAGUAGUGGUAUUCAUUUCAGCUGUGUUCUGCCUACUAGAUCUGUCAAUUACUGAUAGAGGGGUAUGGAAUUCUCCAACUAUAAAAGUGGAUUUGUGUAUUUUUCUUUGCAUUUCUAUUGGUUUUUGCAUCUCAUAUGUUUUAUACCAGUUAAAAUGCCUGCUAGUGUAGCUUUAAAAAAAAGGAAAAUAAGUCAGUUAAUAGAGUAACUAAAAAAAAUGCAUAAUGUUAGAGUGAAUGAAAAGACAAAUGCCUAACUUUAUGUUUUCUAUAAAAAACCCAUUUUAAAUAUAAAGAACAAAAUAUAAAAAAGAUAAAGAUAUACCAUGCUGACACUAAUCAAGUGAAAGUGGGAGUAGGUAUAUUAAUUUCAGACUGAACAGACUUCAGAGCAAGAAAAGUUAUUAGGGAUAAAGAAGAGUAUUACACAAUGAUAAAGAGGUCAGUUCCUCCAAUAAAACAUGUCUUUAGUGUAUACUUAACAACGACCGUUAGAAUAUCUUAGGCAAAAAUAGAUAGAACUGCAAGGAGAAAUAGAUGAAUCCUCUAUUUAUAGUUGAAGUCUUCAGCACUCCUAUCAGUAAUGAACAAAUCCAGCAGGAAAAAGUCACCAAGGAUAUAGCUGAACCAAACAGGAUGAUUAAUCAACUAAAUCUAAGUAACAUUUAUGUACUAUGGUGGGGGAAAAAGGGAGAGAUGAAGAUGUGGAGCACAGGAUUUUUAGUAGUAAACCAUAAUAUAAAUUAUAGACUUUGGUAGAUAAUGAUGUGUCAGUAUUGGUUCAUCAAUUAUAACAAAUGUACCACAGUGAUGUGGAAUAUUAAUGGUGGGGUAAGCUGUGUUUGCAUGUGUUUGGGAGGGUCUUUUGGAACUCUGUAGUUUUGGGCUCAGUUUUGUUAUGAACCUAAAGCUGCUGUAAAAAAUAAAGUCUGCUAAUUUUUUAAAAUGCAUUUGGAACCCAAUUGUUUCUGAGGGUAUUCUAUAGUUUCUUUUUUGUAGAGGUAUUUCAUCUGUAUUAUUGAUGUAUUACUACUAGGGAAAAAUAUAGACUUAUUUUGCUCUGAUAUUAAAGUUGACAUUGGGCCCGGUUUGGUGGCUCAUGCCUGUAAUCCCAGCACUUUGGGAGGCUGCAGCAGGCAGAUCAGUUGAGGCCUAGAGUUCGAGACCAGUCUGACCCACAUGGUGAAACCCCAUCUCUACUAAAAAUACAAAAAUUAGCCGGGCAUGGUGGUGUGUGCCUGUAAUCCCAGCUACUAGGGAGGCUGAGGCUCAAAAAUCACUUGAACCUGAGAGGCAGAGCUUGCAUUCAGCCGGAUAGCGCCACUGCACUCCAGCCUGGACAACAGAGGGAGACUCUGUCUCCAAAAAAAAAAGUUGACAUUGGGCCACGCAUGGUGGAUCAUUCCAUAUAGUCCCAGCACUUUGAGAGGCUAAGGCAGGAGGAUCACUUUAGGCCAGGAGUUUGAGACCAGUCUGUGAAACAUAGUGAAACCCUGCUUCUAAAUAAAUAAAGUUGACAUUGUAUGAAAGUAUAUUUAUUGCUAAAUGUCAUUUAUCCAUGUAUGUUUGUUGUAAUCACCAAGCCCUCAUUUUGAAAUACCACUGUAAUAAACUAAAAGCUUAGUGCAAAAAGCUAUGUUUUACCUACCAAAGAGUAUCAGGAACUGACUUUCUGUGGUUUAUUUUUAGUACCAACCUUAAAUAUUGUUCUUUUCAAGCAGCAAGAAUAAAUUAUUGGUUGUAUAAAUAUGAAAUUUUAGGGGUCUUAUUUAGGGCUAAAAGACAGACUUUGAGGCUGAUUAAUAUCAAGGAUUUUUUUCUUCAAAUAUUAAGUUCCCAAUUUCAGUUAAUUAAUUAGCAGUUUACUAAAAAAUGGUAUAAUCUUGAGUUUUAUUCUAUUUAUUUAUUUUAAAACAACAGUAAUUUAGCUCUUGAAUCUGAACUUUAGGCAGAGCUAAGAGGAAAAGUUCCUUUCCCUAAGGUGUGUGCCUGAUUGGGGGCUGAAGGAUCUACUUCCAACAUGUCUUAUUCAUCUGACUGGCAAUUUGAUGCUUGCUAUUGGCUGUGAGCUCAGCCAAGACUGAGGGGUGAAGGCCGGAGUUCUUUUGACAUGACACUCCAUAAGCUGUUUUCAGCAUAGUGCCUAGGUUCUAAGAGAGACAAAGGCAAAGUUGUCAGUUUCUUAAGACUUGAGCCAGAAAAUUGGCAUAGCAUCACUUUUGCUGUAAUUUUUUAAAAAGUGGAUGCAUAUUUUGAUACAGGCAUACAAUGUGUAAUAAUCACAUCAGGGGAAAUGGGGUGUCCAUCACCUCAAGUAUUUAGACUUUGUGUUACAAACAGUUAUACUCUUUUAGUUACUGUAAAAUAUGCAAUUAAAUUAUUGCUGACUAUAGCCACCCUGUCAUGCUAUCAAAUACUAGGUCUUACUCAUUUUUUCUGUAUUUUUGUACCCAUUAAUGAUCCCUACUUCCCCUGUCCCCACCUCCCACUAUCCUUCCCAGCCUCUGGUAACCAUCUGUCUACUCUGUAUCUCCCUGAGUUUAAUUGUUUUAAUUUCCAUCUCCCACAAAUAAGUGAAAAUGGGCCAGGCAUAUAAUCCCAGCACUUUGGGAGUCGAGGUGAGUGGACCAGUUGAGCUCAGGAGUUUGAGACCAGCCUGGGCAACAUAGUAAGACCUCAUCUCAAGUAAUAAUAAUAAUCAACUGGGUAUGGUGGUCUGUACCUGUAGUCCCAGUUACUCAGGAGGCUAAGGUGAGAGGACUGUUUGAGCCCAGGAGGCAUAGAUUGCCCUGAGCCAAGAUCGUGCCACUACAUUCCAGUCUGGGCAAUAGUGCAACCCUGUCUCUGGAAAAAAAAAAAAAAAAAGAGAGAGAGAGAGAACACAUGAUAUUUGUCUUUCUGUGCCUAGCUUAUUUCACUUAACAUAACGACCUCCAGUUCCAUUGAUGUUGUUGCAAAUGUCUGGAGCUCAUUUCUUUCUUUUUUUUUUUUGAGAUGGAGUUUUGCUCUUGUCCCCCAGGCUGGAGUGCAAUGGCACCAUCUCGGCUCACUGCAACCUCCGCUUCCUGGGUUCAAGUGAUUCUCCUGGGAUUUUCCCUCUGGAGUCCCCUUCCAUGAACACUACCUUCGUGGAAGCCUGUCUUCCCCUCCUAAACUCCGUGUCUCUCUAUUCCCUUCCAGUCAGUGUGGAAGCUGCUUUCUUCUCCUGGAUUUCAUCUUUCUGGAUUAUCUCACUCAGUGUGAGAGUUAGCUGUUUCUUUCUCUCUCCUUCACCUGUUUCUCUCUCUCUCUCUCUAAAAAAAAAAAAAAAGUGAUUCUCCUGCCUCAGCCUCCCAAGGAGCUGGGAUUACAGGCCCCUGCCACCACGCCCGGCCAAUUUUUUUGUAUUUUUAAUAGAGGUGGUGUUUCACCAUGUUGACCAGGCUGGUCUUGAACUCCUAACUUCAGGUUUUGCACCCACCUGGGCCUCCCAAAGUGGUGGGAUUACAGGUGUGAGCCACCACACCCAGCCCCGGAGCUCAUUCUUUUUUAUAGCUGAAUAGUACUCCAUUGUGUAUAAACACCAUAUUUUCUAUAUCCAUUUGUCUGUUGAUGGACACUUAGAUUGCUUCUGGAUCCUGGCUGUUGUGACGAGUGCUGCAAUAAACAUGGAAGUACAGGUAUCUCUUCGAUAUCCUGAUUUUCUUUCUUAUGGGUAUAUACCUAGCAGUGGGAUUGCUGGACUAUAUGCUAGCUCUAUUUUUAGUUUUUUGAGGAACUUCCAAACUGUUUUCUGUAGUAGCUGUACUAAUUUACCUUCCCACCAACAAUGUACAAGGGUUCUCUUUUCUCUGUAUCCUCAUCAGAAUUUGUUAUUGCCUAUCUUUUGAAUAUGAGACAUUUUAACUGGGAUGAUAUCUCACUGUAGUUUUGAUUUGCAUUUCUCUGAUGAUCAGUGAUGUUGAACAUCUUUUCAUAUAUCUGUUUGCCUUUCAUAUUUCUUUUGAGAAAUGUCUAUUCCGAUCUUUUGCCCGUUUUUAAAUUGGAUUAUUAGAUUUUUCCUGUAGAGUUGUUUGAACCCCUUUAUAUCCUGGUUAUUACUCUCUUCUCAGAUCGAUAGUUUACAAAUAUUUUCUCCCAUUCUGUGGAUUGUCUCUUCCCUUUGUUGAUUGUUUCAUUUGCUGUGCAGAAGCCUUAAUGUGAUCCCAUUUGUCCACGUUUGCUUUGGUUACCUGUACUUGUGCAGUAUUUACUCAAGGAAUCUUCGCCCAGUCCAAUGGCCUGGAGUUUCCCCAGUGUUUGUUUUCUUGUAGUAGUUUCAUAGUUUGAGGUCUUAGAUGUAAGUCUCUAAUCCAUUUUGAUUUGAUUUUUUUAUAUGGCGAGAGAUAGGGUCUAGUUUCAGAUCUUCUGCAUUAUUGAUAUCCAUCUUGCCUAGCACUACUUAUUGAAGAGACUAUCUUUUCUCCAUUUUGGCACUUUUGUCAAAAAUGAGUUCACCGUACAUGUAUGGAUUUAUUUCUGGGUCCUCUGUUCUGUUCCACUAAUCUGUGUAUCUGUUUUUAUGCCAGUACCAUGCUCUUUUGGUUACUGUAUUAGUCUGUUUUCACACUGCUGAUAAAGACUGGGAAGAAAAAGAGGUUUUAAUGGACUUACAGUUCCACAUGGCUGGGAGGCCUUAUAAUCAUGACAGAAAGUGAAAGGCACAUCUCAUAGGAUGGCAAACAAAAGAAGAAUGAGAGCUUGUGCAGGGAAACUUCCCUUUACAAAACCAUCAGCUCUCAUGAGACUUACUCACUAUUAUGAGAACAGCAUGGGAAAGACCUGCCUCCAUGAUUCAUUUACCUCCCAUUGAGUCCCUCCCAUAACACAUGGGAAUUCAAGAUGAGAUUUGGGUGGGGACACAGCCAAACCAUGUCAGCUCUGUAGUAUAAUUUGAAGCCAGGUAAUGUGAUUCUACCAGUUUUGUUCUUUUUGCUCAGGGUAGCUUUGGCAAUUCUGGGUCUUUUGUGCCUCCUUACAAAUUUUAGGAUUUUUUUUUCUAUUUCUUUGAAGAGAAUGUCAUUGGUAUUUUGAUAGGGAUUGCAUUUAAUCUGUAGAUUGCUUUGGCUAGUAUGGACAUUUCAACAGUAUUGAUUCUUCCAACCUGUGAACAUGGAAUAUUUUUCCAUUUUUUUUAGAGUUGUCUUCAAUUUCUUUCACAGUUGUUUUAAAACAGUUUUCAUUAUAGAGAGCUUUCACUUCUUUGUUUAAGAUAAUUCCUAGGUACUUAAUUUUAUUUGUAGCUGUUGUAAAUGGGAUUACUUUCUUGAUUUCUUUUUCAGAUUGUUCACUCUUGGCAUAUAGAAAUACUGAUUUUUGGCCUGGCACAGUGGCUUAUGCCUGUAAUCCCAGUGCUUUGGGAGGCUGACGUGGGUGGAUCACGAGGUCAGGAGAUCGAGACCAUCCUGGCCAACAUGGUGAAACCCUGUCUCUGCUAAAACUACAAAAAAAUUAGCUGAGUGUGGUGGCAUAUGCCUGUAGUCCCAGCUACUUGGGAGACUGAGGCAGGAGAAUUGCUUGAACACAGGAGGUGGAGAUUGCAGUGAGCUGAGAUUGCACCACUGCAGCCUGGGUGACAGUGCAAGACACCAUCUCAAAAAAAAAAAAAAAGAGAAAUGCUACUGAUUUUUGUAUGUUAAUUUUGUAUCAUGCAACUUUACUGAAUAUAUCAGUUCUGAUUUUUUUUUUUUGGUAGAGUAGGUUUUUCCAAAUACAAGAUCAUAUCAUCUGCAAACAAGGACGGUGUGACUUCUUCCCUUCCAGUUUGGAUGCCCUUUAUUUCUUUCUCUUGUCUGAUUGCUUUAGCCAAGACUUUCAGUAUUAUGUUGAAUAAUUGUGGUGAAAGUGAGCAUAUUUGUGGUGUUCCACAUCUUAGAGGAAAGUCUUUUAGUUUGCCUCCAUUCAGUAUGAUACUAGCUAUGGGUCUGUCAUAUAUGGCUUUUAUUAUAUUAAGAUAUGUUCUUUCUAUCCUUCUUUUUUCCAGUUAGCACUAGCCAUCUAAUCCCCAGUUUUUUGACAGUUUUCAUCAUGAAGGGAUGUUGAAUUUUAUCAAAUGCUUUUUCAACAUCAGUUUAAAUGAUCAUAUGUUUUUAUCCUUCAUUAUGUUGAUGUGAUGUUUCACAUUGAUUGAUUUGUGUAUUUUUAACCAUCCUACCAUUCCUGGGAUAAAUCCCACUUGGUCAUGAUGAAUGAUCUUAAGGUAUUAUUGAAUUCAGCUUACUAGUAUUUUGUUGAGGAGUUUUGCAUCAAUGUUCAUCAGAGAUAUUGGCAUGUAGGUUUCUUUUUUAAAUUUUUUAAUGUAUCUUUGGUUUUGGUAUGAGGGUAAUACCGGCCUUGUAGAAUAAAUUUAGAAGUAUUUUUACUUCCUCUAUUUUUUGGAAUAGUUUGAGUAGGAUUGGUAUUAGUUCUUCUUUAAACGUUUGGGAAAAAUCAGCGGCAAAGCCCUCAGGUCCUGGGCUCUUUGCUGGGAGACUUUUUAUCAUGGCUUUUAAUACAUGUUGAUCUUGUUAGCAGUCUGUUCAGGUUUUGGAUUUCUUCAUUGUUGAGUCUUGUUUGGUUGUAUAUAUUGAGGAAUUUAUUUAUUUCUUCUAGAUUGUCCAAUUUAUUGGCAUAUGGUUGUUCAUAGCAGCCUCUAAUGAUCCUUCGGUAUCUUUGGUAUCAGUUGUAAUGUUUCUUUUUUCAUCUCUGAUUUUAUUUAUUUGAAUCUUCUGUUUUCUUAAUUUGGCUAAAGGUUUGUCAAUCCUGUUUAUCUUUUCAAAAAAACUGCAUUUUGUUGAUCUUUGGUAUAGUUUUCUUCAUUUCAAUUUCAUUUAUUUUUGCUCUGAUCUUUAUUAUUCUUUUGCUUCUACUGACUUCAGGUUUGGUUUGCUCUUGCUUUUCUAAUUCUUUUAGAUGUAUCUUUAGUUGUUUAUUUGAAGUUUUUCCUCUUUUUGACAUGGGCACUUACAGCUAUAAACUUCCUCCUUAGUACUGCUUUCACUGUAGCCCAUAGGUUUUGGUUUGUUGUUGUUGACGUUGUUUCUUGAGACGGAGUCUGUUUCACCCUGGAGUACAGUGGCACGAUCUUGGCUCACUAUAACCUCCACCUCCCAGGUUCAAGCAAUUCACCCACCUCAGCCUCCUGAAUGGCUGGAAUUACAGACCUGUGCUACCACACCUGGCUAAGUUUUGUAUUUGUUGUGGAGAUGGGGUUUCAUCAUGUUGGCCAGGUUGGUCUCGAACUCCUGACCUCAGGUGAUCCACCCACUUUAGCUUCCCAAAGUGCUGGGAUUAUAGGCGUGAGCCUCCACGCUCAACAUGUUGUUUUUCCAUCAUUGUUUGUUUCAAGAAAUUUUUAAAUUUUCUUCUUAAUCUCUCUUUUGAUCCAGUGGUCAUUCAGCAGCAUGUUGUUUUCCAUAUGUUUGUAUAGUUUCCAAAAUUCCUCUUGUUACUGAUUUCUAGUUUUAUUCCAUUGUGGUUUAAGAAGAUACUUGAUAUUAUUUCAAUUUUUGAAUGUUUUUUAGACUUAGCUUGUACCCUAACGUAUGGUCUGUCCUGGAGAAUGAUUCAUGUGCUGAGGAAAAGAGUAUAUAUUCUGUAAGCAUUGGAUGAAAUGUUCUGUAAAAUCUGUUAGGUCCAUUUGGUCUGUAGUGAAGAUGAAGUCAAAUGUUUCUUCGUUGAGUUUUGGCUAGAUGAUCUGUCUAAUGCUGAAAGUGGAAUGUUGAAGUUUCCAGCUAUUAUUGUAUUAGGACAUGUCUCUUUAGCUCUAAUAAUAUUUGCUUUAUAUAUCUGGGUGCUCCAGUGUCAGGUGCAUAUUUAAAUAUGUUAUAUAGUUGUGCUGAAUUGGCUUUUUUUUUUUUUUUUAUCAGAUAAUGACCUUUUUUGUCUCUUUUGUAGUUUUAUCUUGAAAUCUGUUUUGUCUAAGUAUAGCUACUUCUGCCCAUUUUGGUUUCUAUUUGCCUAGAAUAUCUUUUCCUAUUCCUUUAUUUUCAGCCUAUGUUUGUCUUUAUAGGUGAAGUGUGUUUCUUUUAGGCUAUAGGUCAUUGAAUCUUGUUUUUUCAUCCAUUCAGCCACUCUGUGUCUUUUGAUUUGAGAGUUUAGUUCAUUACAUUCAAUGUUACUAUUGAUAAAUAAGAACUUACUUAUAUCACGUUGUUAUUUGUUUUCUAGUUUUGUGGUCUUCUCUCCCUUCUUUUCUUCUUUCUUUUCUUCUUUUUAGUGAAAGUGAUUUUCUUUGGUGGUAAGUUUUAAUAUCUUUUUUGUGUGUGUAUUUCUUAUGUCACAGUUUUUAGAUUUGAAGUUACCAUGAGCUUGCAAAUAAUAUCUUAUAUCCCCAUAUUUUAAACUGAUGACAACUUAACGUUUAUAGCAUACAUAAACAAGCAAAAAAGAAAACUACUAAAAACUCUGUAAUUUAACUUUGUCUCCCUGCUUUUUAACUGUUUUUUGUUUCUAUUUUCUAUUUUAUUGUUCUGUCUUAAAAAGUUGUUGUGGUUACUGUUUUUGAUCGGUUCAUCUUUUAGUCUUUCUACUCACAGUGUGAGUAAUUUACAUAUCCCAAUACAGUAUUAUAAUAUUCUAUGUUUUUUCAUAUACCUACUAUUACCAGACAAUUUUCUACCUUCAGAUGAUUUCUUGCUCAUUAACAUCCUUUCCUUUCAGAUUGAAGAACUCCCUUUAGCAUUUCUUAUAGGACAGCUCUGGUGUUGAUGAAAUCCCACAGCUUUUGUUUGUCUUGGAAAAUCUAUUUUCUCUUCAUGUUUGGUGGAUAUUUUCUCCAGAUAAACUAUUCCGGUAUAAAGGUUUUUUUCCCCCCUUCAGCCUUUAAAUAUGCCAAUUUCACCUGGCAUGAUGUUGUAAGCGUUCCACUGAGAAGCCUGCUGCCAGACAUAUUGGAGCUCUAUUGCAUGUUAUUUUGUUUCUUUUCUUUUGCUGCUUUUAGGAUCCUUUAUCCUGACCUUCGGGAGUAUAAUUAUUAAAUGCCUUGAGGUAGUCUUCUUUGUGUUAAAUCUGCUUGAUGUUCUAUAACCUUCUUUUUUAAUAUUGGUGUCUUUCUCUAGGUUGGGGAUGUUGUCUGCUACUAAACUUUCUACACCUAUGUCUCUACUUACCUCCUUUUUAAGGCCAAUAACUCUUAGAGUUGCCCUUUUGAGGUUAUUUUCUAAAUCUUGUAGGUGUGCUUCAUUCUUUCUUUCUUUUCUUUUCUUUUUUUUUUUUUUUGGAGAGCGAAUCUUGCUCUGUCGCCCAGGCUGGAGAGCAUUGGCAUGAUCUCAGCUUACUGCAACCUCGGCCUCCUGGGUUCAAGCAAUUCUUAUGCCUCAGCCUCCCAAGUAUCUGGGACUUCAGGCACGUGCCACCAUGCCUGGCUAAUUUUUUGUAUUUUUAGUAGAGAUGGGGUUUCACCAUGUUGCCCAGGCUGGUUUUGAACUCCAGAGCUCAGGCAAUCCUCCCGCCUUAGCUUCCCAAAGUGCUAGGAUUACAGGCGAGAGCUACCGUGCUCAGCCUCCUUUUCUUUUCUCUUUUGUUUCCUUUGACUGUGCAUUUUCAAAUAGCCUGUCUUCAGGCUCACUAAUUCUUUCUUUUGCUUGAUCAAGUCUUUUAAGAUUCUUUGAUACAUUCUUCAUUAUGUCAAUUGCAUUUUUAAACUCCAGAAUUUCCUUUUGAUUCUUUUUAUUUCCAUUUCAUUGUUAAAUUUAUCUGAAAGAAUUUUGAAUUGCUUCUUUUUUUCUUGAGACGGAGUUUCACUCUUGUUACCCAGGCUGGAGUGCAAUGGCGCAAUCUCAGCUCACCACAACCUCCACCUCCUGGGUUCAGGCAAUUCUCCUGCCUCAGCCUCCUGAGUAGCUGGGAAUACAGGCACGCGCCACCAUGCCCAGCUUAUUUUUUUUUUUUGUAUUUUUAGUAGAGACAGGGUUUCACGCUGUUGACCAGGAUGGUCUCAAUCUCUUGACCUCGUGAUCCACCCACCUCGGCCUCCCAAAGUGCUGGGAUUACAGGCUUGAGCCACCGCGCCCAGCUUGAAUUACUUCUCUAUGUUCUCUUGAAUUUCUUCAAGUUUCCUCAAAACAGCUGUUUUGAAUUUUCUGUCUUAAGGAUCACAUGUCUCUGUCUCUCCGUGAUUGGCCCAUGGUGCUUUAUUUAGUUCAUUUUGGGAGGUUGUGUUUUCCUGUAUGGUCUUGAUGCUUAUGGAUGCUUGUUAGUGUCUAGUCAUUGAAGAAGUAGAUUUUUAUUAUAGUCUUCACUAUUUAGUACAUCUUUUUACUUGUCUUCUUUGAGAAGGCUUUCUAGGUAUUUAAAAAGACAGGGGUGUUGUGAUCUAAGUUGUAUCUGCAUUAAGGGACACCCCAGGUCCAACAUUAUUGAAGUUCUUGCAGACUUGUAGAGGUACCACCUUUGUGGUCUUAGAUAAUAUCUGGAAGAAUUCUCUAUGUUGCCAGGCAGAAACUCGUGUUCUUUUCCCUUUUUCCCAAACAGAGUCUCUUUCUCUGUGCUGGACUGCCUGCAGUUGAGGGAUGGGUGACACAAGGACCCCUGUGGCCACUACCACUGGCACUGUGCUGGGUCAGACCUGAAGAGAGCAUGGCACUGGGUCUUGCCUAAGGCCCACUGUAACCACUACCUGGCUACCGUUCAAGGCCUUGGGCUCUACAAUCAGCAGAUGGUGAAGCCAGACAGGCUUGUGUUUUUCCAUUCAGGGAGGUGAGUUCUCCUGAGCCCUGGUAGGUUCCAGAGAUGCUGUCUGGGAGCCAGGGCCUGGAGUUGUAAACCCUAGGAAUCCACCUGGUGCUCUGUUCUGCUGCAGCUAAGCUGGCACCAAAACCACAAGACAAAGUCUUCCCCAUUCUUUCCUCCUCUUCUCCCAGACAGAAGAGCCUCUCCCUGUGAGGGCCACCACUAUAGACGCAUAGGAAGUACUGCCAGUGUUCAGUUAAGGCCCAAUCGCUUUUCAUUCAGCUUGUGGUGAAUGCUUCCAGACCUGUGACUCACCCUGUCAGGCAGCUGGCUCCUCUCUGUCCCAGGAUAGGUCCAGAAAUGCCAUCUAAGAGCUAAGACCUGAAAUUGAGGACCCUGGGUCUGUUUGGUGCUCUUCCCCACUGUGGUACAGCUGGUACCUAAGCUGGAAGACAAAGUCCCCUUUAUUUUUUCUCUCUACUUUUCUCAAACAGGAGAAUCUCCUCAUAGCCAUGAUAGCUGGGAAUAUGGUAGGUCACACCUGAAGCCAGCAUGUUUCAUGGUCUUACUCAAGGCUCAUAGCAUGUUCUGCCUAGUUACCACUGCUGAUUAUUCAGGGCUGAAAGGCCCUUUAUUCAGUAGGUGAUGAAUCCCACCAGGAGUGGAUCCUUCCCUUAUGGCAGCCAGUUCCCAUCUGGCCCAGUGUUUGUCUAAAAAUGUCCAGGAGCUAGGGCUUGGAGGGGGGCCUUCAGGACUCUACUUGGUGUGCUGUCCUACUUUGGCUGAGCUGGUGUCCACAUUGCAAAACAAAGUCUUUACUCUUUUCUCUCCUCUCCUCAAGUGGAAGGAAGGAGUCUCUUUUGGAGCUGUGAGCUGUGCUGCCUGGGGUUGGCAGAGGGGUGAUGCAUGCAUACUCUUAGCUACCCCAGCUGGUGUCUCACUAGGUCAUGUGUCCCCUGAGUUCACAGGCUCUGAUCCUAGCACAGCUUUUCGAGUUUCAUAUAAGUUUCAGUCCUUGUGGCCUUGAGUGCCUUUUGUUUAUUGAGGACUCCAGAGCUCUUUAGCCUUCUGUGAGGCUUUCUGAACUACAGUUCUGACUUCUGCGAUGGGCAAUCCCACUCUGGCUAGAGCCAAUCUAAAUGCAUCCUCUGUGGACAUUGGCUGAGUUCUGCCUGGUGUUGGCAGUACCGAGUUCCAUGUAAAGUUCCACAAAUGCUGCACUCCCCCUCCCACAAAUGCACAGAUUCUCUCAACUGCUGCUGGCAAAUAGGGGAAGGGUGGUGUCAGAAAUUGAAGGGCCUUUCCUACCCACUUCAGUUUGUUGUUCUGCAGUGUGAAGUUAAAACCAGGUAUUAUGAUCACUCACCCGAUUUUUGGUUCUUGUGAAGGUGCUUUUUUAAUGUAGAUAGUUGUCAUGUUUGGUGCGAGACAGGCAGGACAAUUGGUGGAGGCUUCUGUUUGGCCAUCUUGCUCGGCCCCCCAGGGCUUAGACUAGUACAUUUGUUAAACAAUGAAUGAACCAAGACUGGCACAUAUUUACUACUCAAAGUCUGUAAUUUAUCUUAGGGUUCACGCUUGAUAUUGUAACUUCUAUGGAUUUUGACAUACGUAUAAUGACAUGCAUCUGCCAAAUACAGCAACUGCCAUGUAGUAUCAUACAGAGUGGUUUCACUGUCCAAAAAUCUCUGGGAUCCACCUGUUCAUCCCUCCAUUUACCCACCCCCAAACCCUGGUAACUAUUGAUUUUUUGUUUGUUUGUUUUUUUGAGAUAGAGCCUCACUCUGUUACCCAGCUGGAGUGCAGUGGCACGAUUUUGGCUCACUGUAAUCUCCACCUUCUGGGUUCAAGUGAUUCUCCUGCCUCAGCCUCCUGAGUAGCUGGGAUUAUAGGUGUAUGCCACCAUGCCCGGCUAAUUUUUUGUAAUGUUUUCUUUUUGAUAGAAAUUAGGUUUCAGCAUGUUGGUCAGGCUGGUCUCGAACUCCUGACCUCAAGUGAUCCACCCACCUCAACCUUCCAAAGUGCUGGGAUUACAGGCAUGAACCACAACACGCAGGCAAUUGAUCUUUUCACUCUCUUCCAUAGUUUUGCUGUCCCUUCAACAUGUAUUUAUAGAGCACCUACUAUGUGCUACUCAGUUUUGUAGACCUCGGGGAUUAAAUAUUAAAUAGGAGGACAAUGACCUUGGAGCAAGAUAUAGGCCUGGCAGUUACCCUGCAUUGUAAUAAAUACCACUAGUUUACUAGGCAGUCUAGAAAGAAGCUCCUGUCCCAAAUUUGGGAGUUAAGGAAAGACUUCAUGUAAAAACAGAUCUGUUUCAAAGCCUGAAGAAAGAGGUGGUGUCAACAAGGUAAGGGGAUAAAGGAAUAGCAACUAAGAUUUUCUGGGCAAAGAGAGCAGCAUAGGCAAAGGCCAAGAGGAAAGAGAUAGAAUGCACACUUAGGAGCUAAAAGGAGUUCAAUAGAGAUGGUAGGAAGAACAAAUGAUUGGAAGAUUGUAAGAGGUAGGGGGAUAUGAAGAGAAAUGAAACUAGAGAUGGGGAGAAGGUGUCUGACUGUGAUUCACCUUGUAAACAAUGUUGAAGAAUUAGAAUUUAAAUCUAGAGGUCAGAGAAAUUCUUAUGUAUUUUUUUUUCCUUAAAUUAAGCCUUUAUUUAGAGAUAAUUAUAGUUUGACAUGGAGUUGCAAGAAAUAAUACAGAGACUGGGCACACUGCCUUACAUCCGUAAUCUCAGUAUUUGGGGAGGCUGAGGUGGAAGGAUUGCUUGAGUCCAGGAGUUCAAGACCAGCCUGGGCAACAUAGUGAGCUCCUGUGUAUUAGUCAGUUUUCAUGCUGCUGAUGAAGACAUACCCGAGACUGGGUGAUUUACAAAACAAAGAGGUUUAUUGAACUUACAGUUCCAGAUAGCUGGGAAGGCUCACAAUCAUGGCAGAAGGUGAAAAACAUGUCUUACAUGGUGGCAGACAAGAGAAGAGUACAUGUAGGGAAACUCCCAUUUUUAAAACUGUCAAAUCUUAGGAGAUUUAUUCACUAUCAUGAGAGCAGCACAAGAAAGACCCGUCCCCAUGAAUCAGUUAUCACCCACUAGCUCCCUCCCACAACAUAUGGGGAUAAUGGGAGCUAUAAGAUGAGAUUUGGUUGGGGACACAGAGCCAAACCAUAUCACUCUGUCUUUACAGAAAAAAAAAAAAAGAUUAGCCAGGCAUGGUGGUACAUGCCUCUAGUCCCAGCCACUUGGAAGACUGAGGUGGGAGGAUUGCUUGAGUCCAGGAGGGCAAGGCUGUAGUGAGCCAUGAUCAUGUCACUGCACUCCAGCCUGGAUGAGAGAGUAAGAUCCUAUCUCAAAAGAAAAAAAAAGUGAUAAAAUACAUUUUGAGUUUUCAUUCACAUUCUUCUUUUUCUUUUAGUAUCCUAGCCUAAUUUUUUUUUUUUUUUUUUUUUUUUUGCGGGGGUGGGCGGGCAGUGCUCUGAGCCCAUGCUAAUUUGCUAGGCUAGAUUUGGCAAACAGAAAUCAGCACCCUGAAUUAUAUUCUACUCUUAUCUGAAUGAAGUUUAUGGUUUGUGAAUGUAUGUGAGAGAAUUUUAUAAAGCAAUAAGUUGGGAGCUUUAAAUAAUUCUGGACUUAAUGUUGAUCUGCAAUACUUACAAUUUUUAUUUAAAAAGUUAUUGUUACAAUAUGAAUGCUUGUUGGAAUAUGAAUUCUACUUCAAUGUGUUAGAUGCUAUAUUUGCAGAGAUACAUAGACCCUGCCCUCAAAGUUUAGACUGUGUUGGGUCAAAUAGACUUUUUAACAUAAGUUCAUUUCAUUGAGUUAAGUGCAGGGAUGGAGAUAUUAGGGCAUUUUUGGAAGAGAAAGGGGCACUUCCUAGGAGAGAAGAGUAUUGGGGAAGACAUACUUGAACUGAGUCUUGAAUGGUGAAUAGAAGUUAAUCUGGUGAAGGUGAUGAUAGGACAUUUCAGAACAUUUUGAAUAGCACCAACAGAGGUACAUAGAAAGAAGCAGCAUAUUGAGAUUGUUAGUUGGGGAAGUACAAACAGGUUAGUGCUGUUUGAGUGUCUAAGUGUAGGAGGCAGGAGGUUGUUAAAAUACACACUAAAAGAUAAGCCAGGACCUGUUGUGUAGAGUUUGAACUUGAUGGUCAGUAGUUCUCAAACGUAUCUAGCCCAGUGUUUCUUUUUUAUAGUAAAUGUUUUCUAAUUAUAAUUAACACAUAAUUUCUAAUAUGUCAUAAAUGUAACACAAAGGAAAAGUAUAAGAAAUCUAAAAAACAUAAUUUGAAAUAUAUAUUGUAAAAUAUAAAUGUUUAAGCAUUAUUUCAUUAGAACAUGUAAUGAAUUUAUAAGAUGCUUGUACCUGUACACAGAAUUACUGUGAAUGCACAGCAACAAAUGCAGGUUUAUAAAAUGUGUUACAUUGGUAGCUAAGAUAUUUUAAAUGGUAUUGUCACUGGUAAUGAGAUUUUUUUUCUUUUUCUUUUUUUUUUUUUUUGAGAUGGAGUUUCGUUCUUGUUAUCUAGGCUGGAGUGCAAUGGUAUGAUCUUGGCUCAUCACAACCUCUGCCUCCUGGCUUCAAGCGAUUCUCCUGAUUCAGUCUCCUGAGUAGCUGGGAUUACAGGCAUGCGCCACCACGCCUGGCUAAUUUUUGUAUUUUUAGUAGAGAUGGGGUUUCUCCAUGUUGGUCAGGCUGGUCUUGAACUCCCAACCUCAGGUGAUCUGCCCACCUUGGCCUCCCAAAGUGCUGGGAUUACAGGCAUGAGCCACCAUGCCCGGCCUGAGAUUUUUCUUUUUCUUUUUUUUUUCAUGUAACAAGAACCUAGUUUUAGUUGAGAGAUUUUUCAAAAUACUUAACAUCCUGUGUGUAAAGUUCUGACCAAGUGAAAGUACAAGUUGUAUUAAUUGCAUUUCUGGACAAUUUGGUAUUUAUUAAAACCAUGAAAAAAAUACUUUUUUAUGUAAAACAAAAUAAUUUCUAGGUUCAAGUAGUUAUAAACAGGUUUUUCCACACAAUGUCAGAUGGGACAUUGCAAAGUCACGUGAGAGACAGGUCUGUCCUGUGGGAUGUUCUUGGUCAGGGGUCUGCAAACUUCAGGCCAUAGUUCACGCUGCAUGUUUUUAUAUAGCCAUGAGCUAAGAAUAGUUUUGUAUUUUUAAACAGUUUGACACAAAAGGGAAGAAUAUGCAACAGAUGGUUACACCUUUUACAGAAAGCUUGCCAACUCCUGUUUCUUGGGCAUUGUAGCAUGCCGAGCAUCCCUAGCUCCUGCUCACUAGAUGCUAGCAGCACUCCCUCCAUCCAGUCACUGUGAAACCAAAUGUAGCCUCCACUAUUUCUCAGGUGCCUUUGGGAAGGCAAUACUACCUGGUUGAGAACCGCUGCUCUGGUUUAUCAGUUUUCAAUUUUUUAUUCCUCUGCGACACAUUUAACAGAGUCAUACAUGCAUGAUAUAUUUCCAUGCAGAGUUCCUGUGUUUGUAAUUUUCUGUUUUUCUUCCAUUCAAGCAAACGAUUAAAAUGAGGGGGGUAAUUGUUUAACAUAAGGAUACCUUUAAAAACGCUCUGAUUUAUGCUUAUAAAAAUUUUUACAAACUUCAAUACAUAUACUACUACUACUGCUAACUGUGUUAUGUACUACUUAUAUCAUACCUCAUAGGAGAGUGCUUCACACCAUCCUGCCUGACCACCACUGAAGCAAGUAAUAGCCAGCCAUGGAAUAACGUUAAACAAGCAAGUGCCAGCAUUCUAUAUUGAUGUUUUAGAUAGAAAACUUUGAUGGUAGUAUAGAAGAUAGACUUGAGGGAGUCCAUGUUUAGGUACAAGAUAGUCAGGGCUUAUACCAGUUAGUAGGGACGGACCAGAGGGAACAUAUUAUUAGAGAAUUAUUUCAGAUAUCACAAUCAGUAGAACUUGACAAUUGAAAGUUACAGGCUUUUGUUUUUCUUUUCUUUUUUUUUUAUUUUGAGACAGUCUCGCUCUGUUGCCCAGGCUUGAAUGCAGGGGUGCGGUCUCAGCUAACUGCAACCUCUGCCCCCUGGGUUCAAGUGGUUUUUCUACCUCAGCCUUCUGAGUAGCUGGGAAUACAGGUGCAUGCCAGCACACCCUGCUAAUUUUUUAUAUGUUUAGUAGAGAUGGAGUUUCACCGUGUUAGCUGGAAUGGUCUUGAUCUCUUGACCUUGUGAUCUGCCUGUCUCGGCCUCCCAAAGUGCUGGGAUUACAAGUGUGAGCCACUGUGCCUGGCCUCUUUUUUUUCUUUUUCUUUUUUGAACUCAUUUUACUGCCAGAGACAUUCAUUUUUAACACUUUGUUACCUGCUAGAAUCACUUUUAAACAAUACAAAUGCCUAGGCUUCACUCUAUAAUUCCUAGAAAUCAGAGUUCUGGGAUAAUAUCUGGGCACUGAUAUUUAAAAUUGUACUUUAGGAUUCUAAUGUGCAGCCAGUGUUGAAAAUCACUGAUUCAAGAUUUGAGAGAGAAUAAUAAAGGAUGAGUACCAGACUGUCAGCUUAGGCUACCGGUAGAUGGAAGUGGCGUGCUGUGAACCAUAUCUGUUUUAUGGUAGCUAUUUAAAUAUUUCUUAAAUGAAAAUAGAUGACUUUGAACCCAAAUCAAAAUCAGUUUCUCAUUUAAUUUUUGAUUGUCAUAAAUUUGGAUGAGUUGACCCUAGUUCAACAUAUUAUUGACUGGAACCCAACCAAAAUAAUUUCUGUCCCAGAUGAAAUUAUAUCAGAAUGGAAAUCUCUUGAUAUUAUUUGAGAAAAACAAUGAUAGACUGGACAAAGAAAAUAUGGCACAUAUACACCAUGGAAUACUGUGCAGCCAUAAAAUACAAUGAGUUUGUGUUCUUUGUAGUGACAUGGAUGAACCUGGAAACCAUCAUUCUUAGCAAACUGACACAAGAACAGAAAAUCAACCACCACAUGUUCUCACUCAUAGGCUGGUCUCAAUCUCCAGGGCUUGCACAAUCCUUCUGCCUCAGCCUCCGGAGAAGCUGGGACUACAGGCACAUAACACCACACCUGGCCAGAUCCGGCAUUCUAAACCACAUCUUGCAUCAUGAUUUCCCAGUUACCUCGCCUUUAGUGGCUCCUCAUGCCUGGAGGCCUGCAGAGAGGGAAGAUGAUGGAAUGGCCACUGGUUGGAGAGACAUGGUCUUGCUAUGUUGUCCAGGUUAGACUUGAACUCCUGGGCUCCAGCUGUCCUCCUGCCUCAGCUUCCCAAGUAGCUAGGACUA